rnacentral:lncRNA from 1 species
AUGGCUGCUAAAUGUCUCCCCUGGAACUUGGAAGGGACAGCUGACUGUGUCCUCACUUUGCCUGUUGCCCCAGCUCUAUCCCUGCUCUGGGUCCCGGAUGAGACAAACCCCGCCCCUUCUGUAGACGGCUGUGUCUGGUCCCAGCUUGUGGAAGAGCUGCGAUGUACAGAGAAGGCAGAGAGAGCCCUCAUUAUACGUGUACCUGCUCGUUGGACAGAGGUCGUGAGCACGCAGUCAAUGGCGGUGUGUGUCUUGAGGCCUUUGGCUGGGGUGUGUGGAAACAGCAUUGCUGAAGAGAAGGAUUCUUUGUGAAGAUCUGGAAGCAUCUCCCCGGGUGACGGCUGUGUUCAUGGAUCGCUACAUGUUAACCGCGUGGGCACCUCGAGUCAUUUUAAAUACGUAAAGGGGUCUUCUAGAACAGUAAAUUCUAGGAAAAACCUUUUUCUAGAGAGAACUCCAUUUUAAGGUAGACAGUGAUUCUUUCUCUGUUGUGAUUCAGAGGUUGACAGAUUGACACCAGAGAUUCUUCCUGCAGGAUGGACUGUACUAGAGAUGCUAAGGGAACAUGGGGGAAAUGCAGUGGGCCAGGGCUCAUGGAUGCCGUGAGUUUGGAGAAGGCAGUGAUGGGCACCGGGAAAGGUGGUCAUUUGAAGAGAGCAAGUGUGUCUGAGUGCAAGCAGGCUGCUUUAGAGGCCUCCAGUGGGUAUGGGGACCCACAGGAGUCAGAGCUGGAAGUAGAAGGAGGAGACAGCUGGGGGAAGUCGUAGGUGCUAAUCCUUGGUAUGGAAGUGUGAUUCAUCAGAAGUGGAGAGUCCUGGGGGAUGUUAGGGGAAGAGUGGAGCUUAAUGAACCAACACAUAUUUAUCGAGUAUCUGCUGAUUGUCGCCACACUGAAUGCUGACACUCCUUAUGUGGAAGCAUAUGAGAUACCACCUCAAGAAC